rnacentral:misc_RNA from 1 species
GGAAUGCAGGCUGUUAUGGCAAGUGACUUUUCAAUGCCACAAUUUCGUUUCCUGGAACGCCUACUUAUAGUCCACGGUCACUGGUGUUACAAGAGAAUCUCCAAGCUCAUUCUAUAUUUUGUCUACAAGAAUGUCGCUUUUGGCCUCACGUUGUUCUUCUAUGACAUCCUUACCACUUCCUCAGGGCAAGUUCUAUUUGAUGAUUGGUACAUUGUCAUCUUCAAUGUCUUCUUGACAUCCUUGCCUGUGAUCUCCUUGGGUGUGCUAGAACAGGAUGUUUCAUAUGAAGUCUGUCUUAAGUUUCCAACCCUUUAUCAGCAAGGACCAAAGAAUAUCUGCUUCAGCUGGAAACGAAUCAUUGGAUGGAUACUAAACGCGUCAUUAACAUCACUAGUAAUCUUUACAAUCAGCAUCAGUGCACUUUCCCCAGCUGCUUUCACACAAGGGGGAGAAGUGGC